GGGGAUUUCAACCUGGUGAUCAACGCGGACGAACGAAGCACUGGCAGGAUCAAUAGGAGAAUGGCUAACAAAUUCUGACACAUAAUCAAUAGGCUGGGGUUGCAGGACAUGCCUCUGGCGGGCCGCCGUUUCACCUGGUACAAUGGACAGGAGAGGUCAAUCAUGGCCAAGCUUGAUAGACUACUC
rnacentral:rRNA from 1 species